GAAAAAAAUAUAUAUUUACAAAUAAUAAUUAUAAAAGCAAAUUAUAACAAAUAAAACGUAACUUGGUUCAUCUUUAAGAGAUUAAGGCGCUCUUCUUUUUCAGUCACUUUAAGAGAAGUUUUCAACUCAUUUUAAAUGCCAAAACAUAUGUAUUUGUAUUGCUGUCAUGCUUUAGAAAGGGCCCGAUGAUGUCACUUCCUGUUUCAGUAGGGAUAGACGUGAUGACAUCAGUGUUUGUGCAUCAUUAGGACAUCAUAAACAGCCGCGAUGCAGGAGAUGAACGGGAAGCAGCUGGGCGGUGAGCAGAUCGAGAUCGUGCUGGCCAAACCUCCAG